CCUACGGGAGGCAGCAGUGAGGAAUAUUGGGCAAUGGAGGCAACUCUGACCCAGCCAUGCCGCGUGCAGGAAGACGGCCCUAUGGGUUGUAAACUGCUUUUAUACAGGAAGAAACACUCGUACGUGUACGAGCUUGACGGUACUGUAAGAAUAAGGACCGGCUAACUCCGUGCCAGCAGCCGCGGUAAU
rnacentral:rRNA from 1 species